CCGCAGUAGUCAUAUGCUUGUCUCAAAGCUUAAGCCAUGCAAGUCUCAGUACAGACUAUAUUAAAGUGAAACCGCAAAAGGCUCAGUAAACCAGUUUUAAUUUACUAGAGUUAACUUGACUGUGCUUGGAUAACUGUGGUAAUUCUAGAGCUAAUACAUGCAACAAAGCCGUGACCAUUCGUGGUCAGGGCGCUUUUAUUAGACCAAGACCAAUCGCCCGGCCAGUCCGGGCGUUAAGUUGAGGAACCUAGAUAACACAGCAGAUCGCAUGGUCUUAGUACCGGCGACCUAUCUUUCAAAUGCCUGACUUAUCAACUGACGAUGGUAGACUCUGUGUCUACCAUGGCUGUUACGGGUAACGGGGAAUCAGGGUUCGAUUCCGGAGAGGGAGCCUGAGAAACGGCUACCACAUCCAAGGAAGGCAGCAGGCACGCAAAUUACCCACUCCCGGAACGGGGAGGUAGUGACAAAAAAUAACGAUACGGGACUCGAUAUGAGGCCUCGUAAUCGGAAUGAGUACACUCUAAAUCCUUUAACAAAAAUCUAUUGGAGGGCAAGUCUGGUGCCAGCAGCCGCGGUAAUUCCAGCUCCAAUAGCGUAUAUUAAAGUUGUUGCGGUUAAAAAGCUCGUAGUUGGUUCUGCGUCCCGCGCUGUCGGUACACCGUUUGUCGGUGACACUGGCAUGACGCGGGAUGUCCUGUCGGUGGCGGCGGAUACCAUAUCGCCGUCGGCUAACACCGCGGCGUGUUGGCCUUCUGUCGCCGGCUUUAUCCUACCGCGGUGCUCUUCACUGAGUGUCGAGGUAGGCCGACACGUUUACUUUGAACAAAUUAGAGUGCUUAAAGCAGGCAAAAAUCUCUGCCAGAAUAGUGGUGCAUGGAAUAAUGGAACAGGACCUUGGUUCUAUUCUGUUGGUCUCCGGAACACAAGGUAAUGAUCAAUGUGGACAGGCGGGGGCAUUCGUAUUGCGGCGUUAGAGGUGAAAUUCUUGGAUCGUCGCAAGACGCACUAGAGCGAAAGCAAUUGCCAAGUAUGUCUUAAUUGAUCAAGAACGAAAGUUAGAGGUUCGAAGGCGAUCA
rnacentral:rRNA from 1 species